rnacentral:rRNA from 1 species
GCACGGGUGAGUAAUAUAUAGAUAACGUACCUCUUAGUCUGGGAUAGCCAUUGGAAACGAUGAUUAAUACCGGAUACUCCUUCUAACUAUAAUGUUAGUCGGGAAAGUUUUUCGCUAAGAGAUCGGUCUAUAUCCCAUCAGCUUGUUGGUAGUGUAAGAGACUACCAAGGCUAUGACGGGUAGCGGGUUUGAGAGGAUGAUCCGCCACACUGGUACUGAGACACGGACCAGACUCC